GACGUAGGGCGCGAGCGUUGUCCGGAUUUAUUGGGCGUAAAGAGCUCGUAGGCGGUUUGUCGCGUCGGGAGUGAAAUCCACUGGCUUAACUGGUGGCUUGCUUUCGAUACGAGCAGACUGGAGGUAUGCAGGGGAGAACGGAAUUCCUGGUGUAGCGGUGAAAUGCGCAGAUAUCAGGAGGAACACCGGUGGCGAAGGCGGUUCUCUGGGCAUGUCCUGACGCUGAGGAGCGAAAGUGUGGGGAGCGAACAGG
rnacentral:rRNA from 1 species